rnacentral:rRNA from 1 species
AUAUAUACAGUGAAACUGCGAAUGGCUCAUUAAAUCAGUUAUCGUUUAUUUGAUGAUACUUUACUACUUGGAUAACCGUGGUAAUUCUAGAGCUAAUACAUGCAUAAAAGUCCCGACCCCUGGAAGGGAUGUAUUUAUUAGAUAAAAAACCAAUGCCUUCGGGCUCUUUGGUGAUUCAUAGUAACUUAACGAAUCGCAUAGCCUUGUGCUGGCGAUGGUUCAUUCAAAUUUCUGCCCUAUCAACUUUCGAUGGUAGGAUAUAGGCCUACCAUGGUUUCAACGGGUAACGGGGAAUUAGGGUUCUAUUCCGGAGAGGGAGCCUGAGAAACGGCUACCACAUCCAAGGAAGGCAGCAGGCGCGCAAAUUACCCAAUCCCGACACGGGGAGGUAGUGACAAUAAAUACUGAUACAGGUGGUUUUAUGCCUCUUGUAAUUGGAAUGAGUACAAUUUAAAUCUCUUAACGAGGAACAAUUGGAGGGCAAGUCUGGUGCCAGCAGCCGCGGUAAUUCCAGCUCCAAUAGCGUAUAUUAAAGUUGUUGCAGUUAAAAAGCUCGUAGUUGAACCUUGGAUCUGGCCAACUGGUCUGCCUCACCGCAUGCACUGGUUUGGUCGGGUCUUUCCUUCUGGCAAACUGCAUGCCCUUCACUGGGUGUGUUGGGGAACCAGGACUUUUACUUUGAAAAAAUUAGAGUGUUCAAAGCAGGCAUUGGCUCGAAUACAUUAGCAUGGAAUAAUAGAAUAGGACGUGUGGUUCUAUUUUGUUGGUUUCUAGGACCACCGUAAUGAUUAAUAGGGAUAGUCGGGGGCAUCAGUAUUCAAUCGUCAGAGGUGAAAUUCUUGGAUCGAUUGAAGACUAACUACUGCGAAAGCAUUUGCCAAGGAUGUUUUCAUUAAUCAGGGAACGAAAGUUAGGGGAUCGAAGACGAUCAGAUACCGUCGUAGUCUUAACCAUAAACUAUGCCGACUAGGGAUUGGGCGAUGUUCUUUUUUGACUCGCUCAGCACCUUACGAGAAAUCAAAGUCUUUGG